CAACCUCAACUCAUAUUGGACUACCCCCUGAAUUUAAGCAUAUUAAUUAGGGGAGGAAAGAAACUAACAAGGAUUUUCUUAGUAGCGGCGAGCGAAAAGAAAACAGUUCAGCACUAAGUCACUUUGUCUAUAUGGCAAAUGUGAGAUGCAGUGUAUGGAGCGUCAAUAUUCUAGUAUGAGAAAUUAAUGAUUUAAGUCCUUCUUAAAUGAGGCCAUUUACCCAUAGAGGGUGCCAGGCCCGUAUAACGUUAAUGAUUGCUAGAUGAUGUUUCCAAAGAGUCGUGUUGCUUGAUAGUGCAGCACUAAGUGGGUGGUAAACUCCAUCUAAAACUAAAUAUAACCAUGAGACCGAUAGUAAACAAGUACCGUGAGGGAAAGUUGAAAAGAACUCUGAAUAGAGAGUUAAACAGUACGUGAAACUGCUUAGAGGUUAAGCCCGAUGAACCUGAAUAUCCGUUAUGGAAAAUUCAUCAUUAAAAUUGUAAUAUUUAAAUAAUAUUAUUAAGAAUAAUGUGCAUUUUUUCCAUAUAAGGACAUUGUAAUCUAUUAGCAUAUCCCAAAUUUAUCAUAAAAUAUAACUUAUAGUUUAUUCCAAUUAAAUUGCUUGCAUUUUAACACAGAAUAAAUGUUAUUAAUUUGAUAAAGUGCUGAUAGAUUUAUAUUAUUACAGAGCGUUAAUUUUUCGGAAUUAUAUAAUGGCAUAAUUAUCAUUGAUUUUUGUGUUUAUUAUAUGCUCUUGUAUGAUUAACAAUGCGAAAGAUUCAGGAUACCUUCGGGACCCGUCUUGAAACACGGACCAAGGAGUCUAACAUAUGUGCAAGUUAUUGGGAUGUAAACCUAAUAGCGUAAUUAACUUGACUAAUAAUGGGAUUAGUUUUUUAGCUAUUUAUAGCUAAUUAACACAAUCCCGGGGCGUUCUAUAUAGUAUGUAUAAUGUAUAUUUAUAUUAUUUAUGCCUCUAACUGGAACGUACCUUGAGCAUAUAUGCUGUGACCCGAAAGA
rnacentral:ncRNA from 1 species